GAUGAACGCUGGCGGCGUGCCUAAUACAUGCAAGUCGAGCGAACGGACGAGAAGCUUGCUUCUCUGAUGUUAGCGGCGGACGGGUGAGUAACACGUGGAUAACCUACCUAUAAGACUGGGAUAACUUCGGGAAACCGGAGCUAAUACCGGAUGAUAUUUUGAACCGCAUGGUUCAAAGGUGAAAGACGGUCUUGCUGUCACUUAUAGAUGGAUCCGCGCUGCAUUAGCUAGUUGGUAAGGUAACGGCUUACCAAGGCAACGAUGCAUAGCCGACCUGAGAGGGUGAUCGGCCACACUGGAACUGAGACACGGUCCAGACUCCUACGGGAGGCAGCAGUAGGGAAUCUUCCGCAAUGGGCGAAAGCCUGACGGAGCAACGCCGCGUGAGUGAUGAAGGUCUUCGGAUCGUAAAACUCUGUUAUUGGGGAAGAACAUAUGUGUAAGUAACUGUGCACAUCUUGACGGUACCUAAUCAGAAAGCCACGGCUAACUACGUG
rnacentral:rRNA from 1 species